rnacentral:rRNA from 1 species
UACAGAGGGGGCAAGCGUUGUUCGGAAUUACUGGGCGUAAAGGGCGGGUAGGCGGCUUUCUAGGUCGACGUGGAAAUCCCCGGGCUCAACCCGGGAACUGCGUCCGAUACUGGAAGGCUUGAAUCCGGGAGAGGGAUGCGGAAUUCCAGGUGUAGCGGUGAAAUGCGUAGAUAUCUGGAGGAACACCGGUGGCGAAGGCGGCAUCCUGGACCGGCAUUGACGCUGAGGCGCGAAAGCCAGGGGAGCAAACGGG